UGGUGCCCCUCCCUCCUGACUCACAGCCCCAUGAUGCUGCCAGUGACCUGCAUUCCCAGCCCACAGUCCCCUGCCUCCACCCCAGGAGGCUGAGGGUAG